GAUAAACGCUGGCGGCGUGCAUGAGACAUGCAAGUCGAACGGACUUUCUCGGGCUUGCUCGAGAAGGUUAGUGGCGGACGGCUGAGUAACGCGUAGGUGACCUGUCCCGAAGUGGGGAAUAACUGCCCGAAAGGGUGGCUAAUACCGCAUGCGAUCGCUCAUUCAUUUGUGCGAUCAAAGCAGUAAUGCGCUUUGGGAGGGGCCUGCGUCCGAUUAGCUCGUUGGUGGGGUAAUGGCUCACCAAGGCGACGAUCGGUAGGUGGUCUGAGAGGACGAUCACCCAGACUGGGACUGAGACACGGCCCAGACUCCUACGGGAGGCUG
rnacentral:rRNA from 1 species